UUACUUCGUCAUUUUCAUUCUAUCCUUCUUGCACCCACACAAACCCUAAUCAUUGUCUUCAUCUUCUUGUUAUUCUACGCUAGAUUUCAUCAAUCGAUCUUGCUAAAUCCCAAUCGUGAUUUCAGAUUCAACCGAUAUCCUCCGAUUCAAGUUCUGUUGAUCGAAUGUAUUGUGUUUUGAUUUAUUCAUAGUAUAUUUCAAAUUUUUGGGUUUGACUGGGUUUUUCAUUCAUAUUACGUUUUUAUUACAAAUCAGUUCAGAUUCGGGCUAUUUUGUUCAGAUUUGUUACAUCAGUUUGUUCAGAUUAGGGUUUGUUUUUGUUCAAAUGUGGUAAUUGAUCGAUCUUGCUAAAUCCCAAUAGCGAUUUCAAAUUCAAGUGAUCUUCUCCGAUUCAAGUUUUGCUAAUCAAAGGUACUGUAUUUUAAUUUAUUCAUAGUAUAUUUCGGAUUUUUGUGUUUGAUUAGGGUUCUCUUAUUCAGAUUGCGUUUUUAUUAAAAUCAAUUCAGAUUAGGGCUAUUUUGUUCGUAUUUGUUACAUUGAUUUGUUCAAAUUAUGGUUUGUUUUUGUUCAUUUGUGGUGAUUGAUUUGAUUUUAUAUUUGAUGUUUAUCUUAUAGUUUGAGUCCUCUCCAUCAAUUUUCUUUUGUUAAAAUUAAGGUUUUUUGUCAUUCGAUUUGUUUGAUCUUCUAAAGAUUUUGUAUCAAGUAUAUGACAUUGUUGGAUGAUUAUUUGUUGAUUCUGAAUGUCUUUGUCAUCACAAACAUGUACUUUUGUUUUUUACAGAUUUUGUAUUAAGUAUAUUACAUUAGAAUUUAGUUAUACAUGUUAUGAAUAGUGUCAUUGUUCUAUCUGGAUCACCGAGGCAAUCAUGGUUUCAAAUUAAAAGGCUAGGAUGCAACAAACGUUGGUGAUGAAGCUAGCUUCACCCCUAAUAUUGAGCAAUACACUAGCAUAACUGAAGGAAUCAGGUUACAAAUGAAGUUUGAAGUUGUCAUUGGACCUUAUCAUCAGCAUUAGUCUGCUAUAACAGUAUACUGGUUCUUCCUAAAGCUUAUGUUGAGAAGAACAUGAGUGGUCCUUUUGUGAAGAAAAAGUUGAUACUCAGGUUUGAUGGUAGGCGUUCAUGGGUUCUUUCAUUCGAGAAGGUUCGUGAUGUAGUAGCGAUUACAGAUGGAUGGAAAACUGUUGUGGAUCAGCAUGGAUUGAAGAUUUGUUGUUUGUUGGUCUUUACCCCGUUUUAGCCGUACAACCAUUUUCUUCUAGCGGCCUUUAAUAUUGAUUUUGAUGUUCCGUGCAAAAAGACACUGAGGCGUUCAAAUGUUUGUCUUGUGGAUGAUUUGUUUAACAAAUAUAGAUCUUUCUACUACAUCAUUUUUUAUCGUUCUUGCAGUCGUGUUUUUUUGCCAUCCCAAAUUAUUAGGGAUCACCUUGGACCAAGUUGCAAUGGUGAUUGCAAAUUUUGGUAGAUGAAGAAUAUCCACAGAAUGUCAAGAUUGGAAGGUCUGGGAAUAAGUUGUUCUUCGGUCGGGAUUGGGUCAAGGUUGUUCAACAAAUCAAGAUGAAGUUUGCUACCUUUGUUCUUUUUCAGUACAUGGGUCAAAGAAACUUUAAGUUGACUGUUUUCAUGAAUGAUGGCAUUCAGCUCAUUGUUUCACAUCCACAACCAAAUCCAAACACUGCUCAUGAUACGGAAUACCCUAUACAGGUUAAUCAUCAACUUAUUCAACAAAAUGAUCAACUUAAUUCUACUUUCACCGUCAUUGCAAGAAACAGAUUUCGUUUACCAACCAAGCUGGAAAUAGUUGCACGAGUAAGGUGAUGCUUGUUUUUCUAAAAAAGAUCUGCGCAACCUCUUCUGUUUGUGCUGCGCAGACAUUGCCAUCUUUAGACUGUUUUUUUUUUCCGGAGAAUCUUCAUUAAAAAAUGUCUACGCGAGCUCUUUUUGGUGCAGACUUGGCCCAACCACUUCUAAGGUCUUCUAAAUUCUACAGAGGGUUAAACACCACUACACACCACCACCGUCCACCACCACCACCGUCCAUCACCACCACAUUCCACUACCCACCACCGUCCAUCACCACCAACACCGUCCAUAACCACCGUCCACCACCCACCACCACCAUCUACCACAACCACCGUCCACCACCACCACCACCUACCGUCCACAUCCACCACCCACCACCCACCACCACCACCCACCACUACCAUCCGUACACCAGCUUAUUUUAGAAGUCUACAUAUCUUUAAAAGUAAACAACUUUCUUCUUACAGACUGCAAAGGUUUGGUCCACCUCUUAUUCUAAAGAUGUCUAUAGAUGUGGUCCGCAGACUACAGACAUUUUACCUCUUAAAAAACAAACAAGACCUAAGAGUUGGACGAAGGAUUAAAAUAGGACGUUUGUCUACAGAAAUUGUUGGGGUGGAUGUGAGGAGGGAGAAGGAUGGUAGAAGAGGUUAUCGUUAUGCAAUCCAAGGUUGGAGCCAUUUCAUGAAGAAAAACGGAAUCAAAGACAGUGACAAAUGCAACAUUAUUUUUUAUCAUUCUGCAGGUACGGUUCGUAUCAUAAUGGUUAGCAAGUAGUUUCAUGGUGGUUAGUUUAAACAACUGGGUUUUUAUGGUCAUUUUUUUUUGUUUUAUAGUUUGGUGAUAAUAUCAACUGAUGAACAAAACUAAGUUUAUAUUUUUGAGCAUUUUAAUGUUUACUUGAUAUAUAUAAUCAA